GAGAUGUACAGAGGAAGUCAAAGCAGAAAAUCAGAAACGCGUGUGUUGACCUAAACAGCUGUAGCACCUGUGGUGUAGUGAAUUAUGUGAACAUUAAAUGUUUUAUUUUGCUACGACGCAACAAAAUGACUAAACUGCGCUACCUGAGUGUUCUUCUAUCCCAGCGGCUGACGUUGGCAGCCCAAGAGAUUUUUAAGGACGUGGAGGAAACCAUUUUAGAGCUUCAAGAAGAAACUAAGCUGGCUAAACAAGAGAACGCCAAACUUAAAUUGAAGCUACGAGAGGCUGGUAUAAACAGCUGCGAUGAGUCCAGGGAAGCCGUCACUCCUGCUGAGUGUCCUGCAGAGGUCCAAAGCUGUGGAGAGCAGAGACCUGAGGUGCUUUUGGAAGACAGCUCCACCAUUGCGUCUUUAAAGCAGGAACUUGAUGCACUGGAUGAACUUGAGACAGGCUCAGUGGAGGGUGGACCUGCGGCAAUGCAAAUUAAAAUGGAGAUGAACUAUACGGAGUGCUCUUCCCUUGAAAGGCAGAGUGGUUUUUGUCCUCAAUCAAACAGCUCAGGCAUGCAAACUGACAGUGUCACAGUAAGCAUGGGUGAAGUUGUGGCCUCAUGGCCAGUGUUGGAGCCCCACGAAUCACAAGUGUUCCCCUGCGUGGAGAGGACGUGGAGUGUUGCCGCUAAAGGAGCAGAAACUUCCCAGAUAACAGAGAGACCUUGCAGCAGGACUGGAAACUGUCCUCCUGAAGAUGAUGAUCAGGAUAAUGUUGAUGAAGAAGUUACUCAUGACCCUGUAAAGGAGAGUGAGAAUAUUGAUGAGGAGAUCCAUCACAAACCUCAGAUGCCUCAGGAAAAACCUUGCACCCGGGCAGAGCUUGCCAGAUGUAGCAACAGUUGCUUGGAAAACAGAAAUGAGGAAAGCACUGUGGGCAAAGAAACCAGCUCUAACAAUAUCAAAACAGUAGUCAGAACAGGGAAACCAAGAGGGAGACCAAGGAAGCAUCCCCAAACUUCUACACCAAAACCAGCUUUGAUAGACCUGAAACAUGACACCCGUAAUUCACGUCUGAGGUCUGGAAAUGAAAGAACUUCAGCAAUCACAGGGAGGAUGUUGAGGAGACUUACAAAGCACCCUCAGUUGUUUACAAAUAAAUCAGUUGAGGUUGACAAUGGAAAUGGCAGAGAUUUAUCCAGAAUUGGGAGGCCAAUUGGAAGGCCUAAAAGGCAUCUUCAAAUCGCCAAAGCAAAACCAGAUGCAGUAAACUUGCAACAUAAAGAAAAUUCUUCAGGUGAACAGUCUAGCUCUACUAUCAGAUCAAGUAGACUGAGUGGUAAGCAUAGAAAGCAUUCUCAAACCUUGAUAUCAAAAUCUGAUGAGGUAAACUCAGAACAACCAAGUCCUUCAGAUGAUGAGACUAACUCUGCUGUCAGAGCAGGGAGCCCAAAGGGAAGGUCUAGGAGCCAUCCUCGGAACUCUAGAGCAAAAUCAGAUGAGGUGAACUCAGAGCAUGAAGAAAGUUGUUCAAUUGAAAAACCAACCCCUGUGAGAACAGGGAGACCAAGGGGUAGGCCUAGGAAGCAUCCUCAAACCUCAACAGCAAAUUCAGAUGAGGUGAACUUGGAGGAUGAAGAAAACAUUUACGGUGAAGCAUCUCACAGGCCUUGCAAGCAUACUGGAACAUCUACAGCAAAAUCAGAAAAACUACAGUCAGAAGAAAAUGCUUCAGGAGAAGGGUCUAGCUCAGCUGUCAGAACAGGGAGAUCAAGGGGUAGGCCUAGGAAGCAUCUUCAAGCUUCUACAUCAAAACCAGAUGAGGUGAACUUGGAGGAUGAAGAAAACACCUUAGUUGAAGAGUCAAACCCAAUGGUCAGUACAGGAAGACUAAGCGGGAGACCCAGGAAGCAUCCUCAAAGUACUACAAUCGAACCAGCUGAGGUGGACUUGGAUCACAAGGAUAGUGUUUCAGAAGAUCCAUCCAUCUCUGAAGAUAACACAGACUUGUCAAGAUCAAAUAGAACAAGUGGGAGACUGAGGACACGUACUGAGACCUCCACAGUCCAGCCAGUUGAGAUGGACCAUCAGGAUAGUGCUUCAAGUGAUGAUGAAGGGGAUGACGGAGAUUCAUCAAUGUUUGAAAAACCAAGGAGUACACCAAUGAAGCGUCCUCGAAGUUCUUCAUCUUCAGACUUUGAGAUUGAUACGGAACAGGAAGAUGAGCCUUCAGAUGAAGACUCCAGCUGUGGAAGUCACAACUCAACCAGAAAUGAGAGAUCCAGGAAGAAUCUUCGGACCUCAAGAGCUAAAGCUGUAGAGUCCGACUUGGAUCAUGUCUCUGUCCUUACUCAUGACAUGGGACUUGUUAAGAAGGGGUACUGUUUGUAUUGUGCUAAGCCGAUCGUCAAGUUGGCAAGGCAUUUAGCAAUGCGCCACUUUGACCAAAAGGAUGUGGUCAAGGCUCUGAGUCUCCCCAAAAACUCAAAAGAAAGAAAAAUUCAAAUCGGACGCCUACGUAACUGUGGUAACCGUGCACACAAUAACCGAGUGCUGAAGGAAGGGAGAGGACUCCUCAUACCAUGCCGAGCCUUUAAGGCAGAGGAUCCCAAAGACGUAGUAUAUUGCCAUGGCUGCCAUGGCAUGUUUUCCAAAGAGAGCAUAAGUAAGCACUUUAAACUCUGUGCAUUUGUCGGAAAGGAGGACAAUGCCGAUCCAUGUCCAGAAGAGGAUCCGUCCUUACAUAUGGUGGUCAAACAAGCUCCAAAAGACUUCUCAGAGGUCCUCAGUGGGAUGUAUCAGGAUGAUGUUACAGAGGCCGUUAGGCAGGACAAGCUUCUUCUUAAACUAGGACAAAUCAUGUUUGAUAAAAGGCUUACAUGUGAAUAUAUCUGGCAGAGACUUCGUGAGUUGGGCAGGUUACUUUUGAACGGCCGAAAAAUCACCCCGUUGCAUGAAAUGGAGGAUUAUAUCAGGCUGUCAAACUGGGAUCACUUGGCUGCUGCUGUGAAGGAUGUUGCUGGGUUCUGUGAGACCACAUGUACAUUUGCCAUACCCAAGUAUGCUGUGGCUAUCAGGCGCAGCUUGCCAAAAAUAGCAGGGAUUGUCAAGUGUGAUGCAGAAACCAGUGGAGAUAAGGAAAUGGUAGAAAAUGCCCAAAAUUUCCAAGAGUCAUUGCUGAUAAAGUGGCACCAGCAAUUCGUGGCACCAGGGAUGCCAAUAAGCAACAGUCCAUUGUUGGUAGUUGCUGAACAGACCAGCAAUGGUAGAGAGGAUCAACGCUCUGGAAGUGAGGAUAACAUCAGUGCUGCACAGUCAAGAACAGAGCAUGAAAUGGAGCGACUGAAGCACAGUGCUAUCCAAGUCCUCCCAGCCAAUCAAGCAGAUGAGGCACAAAUUAAAAACACACUGGAAUCAUCAACUGGGGAGGAGAGAAGUGGAAACAGGAACAGUGCCUGUCCUCCAGAGGAUGAUGAUCUUGAAAGAGAGGCUGGGGAUGAUGAGGAUGAUAAUGAUACAGAUUGUGAUGAUGAUGAUGAUGAUGAUUAUGACGCUAAUGAUGAUGACGAUGCCAGCGGUCAUGAUGUUGACAGUGAUGGAGAUGAUGAUGACUUUGUUCCAAUACUCAGAUCGGCGAACAAGACUCUUAAUUCCAAGAAUGAAAGCCUAAAUGGACCCUGUGACAGUGCCCAAAAUGACACUCCUCCCAAACCACUAAACCAACUGCAGCCGCAGAGAAUAACCGCUGCAGCAGAAAUUGUGCAGCAAGCCGAUUCGUCCUCAGCUGAUGAAGAUGAUGAAAAACAUGAUGACUACUGUCCCUCAAAAUCAGAUAAAUCACAACAUCGUGUAGUGAAAAGAAAUCCAAAAAGAAAGGGCGUGGCGAAACAGAAAUGGAAUCAAGCAGAGAUCCAGGCUGUGGAGACGCACAUGGCCAUGUUCAUCAGCUCGGGCAAGACCCCAGGGAAAAAGGCGUGCACUGCCUGCAUCGUGGCUGAACCAGACGCUCUAAAGGCCAGGAACUGGACAGCCAUCAAGUUUUACACCAAAAACCGCAUCACUUCCCUGCGCAAGCAAAAUAGUAAACCAUCACAGACAUAAGGGCACUGAGGUUGAAUAAAGAAGAACUGCAAUACA
ensembl:lncRNA